rnacentral:rRNA from 1 species
GACGAACGCUGGCGGCGUGCCUAACACAUGCAAGUCGAGCGAGGGAUAGGGAGUUAGCUUGCUAACACCUUAAACCUAGCGGCGGACGGGUGAGUAACGCGUGAGCAACCUGCCUUGUACAGGGGGAUAACAGGUGGAAACACUUGCUAAUACCGCAUAAGGCCACAGUAUCGCAUGAUACAGGGGUCAAAGGAGUAAUCCGGUACAAGAUGGGCUCGCGUCCCAUUAGCUAGUUGGUGAGAUAAAAGCCCACCAAGGCAACGAUGGGUAGCCGACCUGAGAGGGUGACCGGCCACACUGGGACUGAGACACGGCCCAGACUCCUACGGGAGGCUG